UGAAUAUUGUGGAAGCUGGCAAGAGGUUCUUCCUGUACACUGGCCGUUGCCCUUCCUCCGAUGCCAUGCAUAGGCCACCUCGUUCCCUUCAUUAUGACCAGAUGGCUGCAGGGUGUGUUCGACGUCCCCCUGGCGGUGCAGCUGACUGCGAUGAGAAGUACCCGUAGAAGGACUUGGCGCUGGAGGAGUGCACCGAGUGAGCCUACGAGGACGCCAAGGACAUCGUAGCAAGGGCUUUGCCAUGAACAGGACUUGCAUCUUAUCUGACAUGGACUUCACCGAAGGGUCGGAGAGUCCUGCGGGAAUGUCCUAAAAGUGCAAAAACGUGUGACCUUCGACCAUGUCGAGCGAAUCUUCGGCUUCGACGAGUCCUCCAACAGCGGCAGGAUCUUGUUCCCUGCCAUCUAGGCCGUACCAAGCUUCUCGUCCAGGUUUCCGUUCACUUUCAAGAAGGACGGACCCUGUGUGAUCACCUGUGCUGUUGACAGGUAGAUAGAAACUGGUCAUGUCUGAAAACAGUUUGAUGUUUUCCUUUAGUUGUCCACCUGACUAAUAGCACAGGUGCCUCAGGGCCAUCCUCUCUUCUGCCCCCUCAACCAAAACAUUUAUUUACCCAUAAUGCAUCUGCAAAACAUAAGAGUAUCGGGAUCCAAAUGAACAGGUAAACCUCAGCAACCCACACAUUGCUUAUGCAGGAUAUUACAAAUCAAAAUACAAUUCUUAAUUGAAAUAGUGUUACACAAUUAUAUCAAACAAUAUUAGUAAUAUUUCUCUUUUCUUUAUA